rnacentral:ribozyme from 13 species
CUCCUUUUCUUCUUCUUCUUUCCUUUUCUCUUCCUCCUCCCUCCUCUUUCUAGGAGGAGGACGAGGAGUAGAAGAAGGAGGAGGGAGGUCUGAAAGGGGGGUAGUUAUA